rnacentral:rRNA from 1 species
GACAGAGGGUGCAAACGUUGGUCGGAAUUACUGGGCGUAAAGCGCGUGUAGGCUGCUUCAUAAGUCGGGUGUGAAAGCCCUGGGCUCAACCUAGGAAGUGCACUCGAAACUGCGAAGCUUGAGUCCUGGAGAGGAAGGCGGAAUUCUCGGUGUAGAGGUGAAAUUCGUAGAUAUCGAGAGGAACACCGGUGGCGAAGGCGGCCUUCUGGACAGUGACUGACGCUGAGACGCGAAAGCGUGGGGAGCAAACAGG